rnacentral:rRNA from 1 species
AACAGGAUUAGAUACCCUGGUAGUCCACGCCGUAAACGAUGUCGACUUGGAGGUUGUGCCCUUGAGGCGUGGCUUCCGGAGCUAACGCGUUAAGUCGACCGCCUGGGGAGUACGGCCGCAAGGUUAAAACUCAAAUGAAUUGACGGGGGCCCGCACAAGCGGUGGAGCAUGUGGUUUAAUUCGAUGCAACGCGAAGAACCUUACCUACUCUUGACAUCCAGAGAACUUAGCAGAGAUGCUUCGGUGCCUUCGGGAACUCUGAGACAGGUGCUGCAUGGCUGUCGUCAGCUCGUGUUGUGAAAUGUUGGGUUAAGUCCCGCAACGAGCGCAACCCUUAUCCUUUGUUGCCAGCGGUUAGGCCGGGAACUCAAAGGAGACUGCCAGUGAUAAACUGGAGGAAGGUGGGGAUGACGUCAAGUCAUCAUGGCCCUUACGAGUAGGGCUACACACGUGCUACAAUGGCAUAUACAAAGAGAAGCGACCUCGCGAGAGCAAGCGGACCUCAUAAAGUAUGUCGUAGUCCGGAUUGGAGUCUGCAACUCGACUCCAUGAAGUCGGAAUCGCUAGUAAUCGUGGAUCAGAAUGCCACGGUGAAUACGUUCCCGGGCCUUGUACACACCGCCCGUCACACCAUGGGAGUGGGUUGCAAAAGAAGUAGGUAGCUUAACCUUCGGGAGGGCGCUUACCACUUUGUGAUUCAUGACUGGGGUGAAGUCGUAACAAGGUAACC